UACGUAGGGCGCAAGCGUUGUCCGGAAUUAUUGGGCGUAAAGAGCUCGUAGGCGGCUUGUCACGUCGGGUGUGAAAGCCCCGGGGCUUAACCCCGGGUCUGCAUUCGAUACGGGCUAGCUAGAGUGUGGUAGGGGAGAUCGGAAUUCCUGGUGUAGCGGUGAAAUGCGCAGAUAUCAAGAGGAACACCGGUGGCGAAGGCGGGUCUCUGGGCCGAUACUGACGCUGAGGAGCGAAAGCGUGGGGAGCGAACAGG
rnacentral:rRNA from 1 species